rnacentral:lncRNA from 1 species
AUGGAUUUACCUAUCAGAGCCAGAAGUUGCUCGCUCUGCCCGCCCAAGAAGGUCCGGCUUUCCCUUCUGUCCCACCUUCUUUGUGACGUCAUAGAACCAUCGCCUUGCUUAGCCCGACCCCGCCUCUUUUAUUUAAAUACGGCGCUCAACAUGGCGGUGCCUACUUGGUCCGUCGGCCGCUGUGUUUUCGAGCGCAGGCCAUGGAAAAGACUGUUUCUUCAAGAGCCGCGCUGUUUGGCUAACUACAGCUGCGUUUUAAUCCCUGAACCCCUUUCAGCGCGAAGUGCGUGUCGGUUAUCGCCUGAAAACCAGCUGACCUUUAACGACCCUCACCACCUCUGCUCCGGAAGUGCUUGCUGGUCCCAGGAAGCAGUGCUCAAUGUGAGGACGAGACCUCCCCCAAAGUGAACCACAGCCAUUCUCAGCAACAGGGUGCCAAGCUCUUCUGAAGAUAACAGCCAAGUUCAUAUCAGGGGGAGCCAGCAUGACGAUCUCCUCCAGGAGAAGCAACAGCUCCAAACAGCUGCAUUGAGAACCCACAAUGUUACUCCUCCUCUCCAGGUCUUCUUUUAUGCAGGCAGCUGUCCUUAGGAGGGCCAUCCAUGCUCAGCUCCACGCCGAUUCAGUCCAGCUGGUAUUUAAGUUGGCCACCAGUUACCAGUGCACCACACAUGUAUCUUCCACCUGUCUUACUAUGACUGAUCUUAUUUGAAUCCAAUUCAUUAGACUGCAGUUUUGUCUUGGCUGACUUUAUUUGAAUUUGGUAUGCUUGAUAGUAUCAACCCUAAAAGUAGAGGCAACUACUCUGAAGAUGACAAGAUGUAAAAGAUAUCCAUAAUGGUAUUAAUUAUUAACAGCUCUCAAGUCCUACAAUGUUUUCAAAGUUGUGUUUUUAUAAAAAUAGCUAGGUAAUACUAUGCUUAUCUAUAUUAAGCCCGAUGAUGUGGAGAAGUCUUGAAGAGAAAGCUCGUUCUAUCUGCUGCUUCCCCUCCCCUUCUCCCUUCAAAUCCAACUAGGUUAAGUUUUAACUUCCUAAAGGCCAUUUACAAGAAGAAGGGGGGGGGAUGAAAGGGUUAACUCCCUAACUCCCCAGAGCUAUCAGAGCAGAGCAGAAAGGAAUGACUAACUCCCCAGAGCUAUCAGAACCGAGCAAAAAAGAAUGCACCUGCAAGGUUGUUCUGUCUCAACGAGAUAAGUAAGACAAGUAACUGUUCUGUUCUGGGCACAUAGUGACUGGGCUAGGACCCCCAGUCUCCAUGGUUACUCAACCCCCAAAUCCCUCCAAUCAACUUCUGCCAAGUCCUAUGCUGCUAAAAAUUAACCAAUGCAAUCUGCUUCUGUAAACUUGCUUGCCUCCCGCUUGCGCCCUUAAAAACCCUGCACAAUUCCCCCUCGGGGCCCUCCACACUUGUUUGCCUGGGGGACCCCAUGCGCAUGGAAAUAAACUUUUUACUCCUCACUACGAGCUGAGUCCUUGGGGUCUUCUUCCCUGCGACAUGGACCUUACAGUCUAUUGAAAAUAAC